rnacentral:rRNA from 1 species
AUACAUGCAAGUCGAGCGAGAAGACGUAGCAAUACGUUUGUAAAGCGGCGAACGGGUGAGGAAUACAUGGGUAACCUACCCUCGAGUGGGGAAUAACUAGCCGAAAGGUUAGCUAAUACCGCAUACGACUCUCGGUCUGCGGAUCGAGAGGGAAAGCGAUACCGUGGGUAUCGCGCUCAUGGAUGGGCUCAUGUCCUAUCAGCUUGUUGGUGAGGUAACGGCUCACCAAGGCUUCGACGGGUAGCUGGUCUGAGAGGACGAUCAGCCACACUGGCACUGCGACACGGGCCAGACUCCUACGGGAGGCAGCAGUAAGGAAUAUUGCGCAAUGGGCGACAGCCUGACGCAGCGACGCCGCGUGGGGGAUGAAGGUCUUCGGAUUGUAAACCCCUUUCGGCAGGGAAGAUGGAACGGGUAACCGUUCGGACGGUACCUGCAGAAGCAGCCACGGCUAACUUCGUGCCAGCAGCCGCGGUAAUACGAAGGUGGCAAGCGUUGUUCGGAUUUACUGGGCGUACAGGGAGCGUAGGCGGUUGGGUAAGCCCUUCGUGAAAUCUCCGGGCCUAACCCGGAAAGUGCGGAGGGGACUGCUCGGCUAGAGGAUGGGAGAGGAGCGCGGAAUUCCCGGUGUAGCGGUGAAAUGCGUAGAGAUCGGGAGGAAGGCCGGUGGCGAAGGCGGCGCUCUGGAACAUAUCUGACGCUGAGGCUCGAAAGCGUGGGGAGCAAACAGGAUUAGAUACCCUGGUAGUCCACGCCUUAAACUAUGAAUACUAAGUGUCGGCGGGUUACCGCCGGUGCCGCAGCUAACGCAUUAAGUA